GCCCCGGUAGCUCAGCUGGCAGAGCGACAGACGUGGGAGCUGUUGGUCGAGGGUUCGAAUCCCUCCCGGGGCU
rnacentral:tRNA from 1 species